AAGGUGGCCUGUGAGGGUUGCUGGAGGUAUCAGAAGUGCGAAUGCUGACAUAAGUAACGAUAAAGCGGGUGAAAAGCCCGCUCGCCGGAAGACCAAGGGUUCCUGUCCAACGUUAAUCGGGGCAGGGUGAGUCGACCCCUAAGGCGAGGCCGAAAGGCGUAGUCGAUGGGAAACGGGUUAAUAUUCCCGUACUUGGUGUUACUGCGAAGGGGGGACGGAGAAGGCUAUGUUGGCCGGGCGACGGUUGUCCCGGUUUAAGCGUGUAGGCUGGUUUUCCAGGCAAAUCCGGAAAAUCAAGGCUGAGGCGUGAUGACGAGGCACUACGGUGCUGAAGCAACAAAUGCCCUGCUUCCAGGAAAAGCCUCUAAGCAUCAGGUAACAUCAAAUCGUACCCCAAACCGACACAGGUGGUCAGGUAGAGAAUACCAAGGCGCUUGAGAGAACUCGGGUGAAGGAACUAGGCAAAAUGGUGCCGUAACUUCGGGAGAAGGCACGCUGACACGUAGGUGAAGUGAUUUACUCAUGGAGCUGAAGUCAGUCGAAGAUACCAGCUGGCUGCAACUGUUUAUUAAAAACACAGCACUGUGCAAACACGAAAGUGGACGUAUACGGUGUGACGCCUGCCCGGUGCCGGAAGGUUAAUUGAUGGGGUCAGCGCAAGCGAAGCUCCUGAUCGAAGCCCCGGUAAACGGCGGCCGUAACUAUAACGGUCCUAAGGUAGCGAAAUUCCUUGUCGGGUAAGUUCCGACCUGCACGAAUGGCGUAAUGAUGGCCAGGCUGUCUCCACCCGAGACUCAGUGAAAUUGAACUCGCUGUGAAGAUGCAGUGUACCCGCGGCAAGACGGAAAGACCCCGUGAACCUUUACUAUAGCUUGACACUGAACAUUGAGCCUUGAUGUGUAGGAUAGGUGGGAGGCUUUGAAGUGUGGACGCCAGUCUGCAUGGAGCCGACCUUGAAAUACCACCCUUUAAUGUUUGAUGUUCUAACGUGGACCCGUAAUCCGGGUUGCGGACAGUGUCUGGUGGGUAGUUUGACUGGGGCGGUCUCCUCCUAAAGAGUAACGGAGGAGCACGAAGGUUGGCUAAUCCUGGUCGGACAUCAGGAGGUUAGUGCAAUGGCAUAAGCCAGCUUGACUGCGAGCGUGACGGCGCGAGCAGGUGCGAAAGCAGGUCAUAGUGAUCCGGUGGUUCUGAAUGGAAGGGCCAUCGCUCAACGGAUAAAAGGUACUCCGGGGAUAACAGGCUGAUACCGCCCAAGAGUUCAUAUCGACGGCGGUGUUUGGCACCUCGAUGUCGGCUCAUCACAUCCUGGGGCUGAAGUAGGUCCCAAGGGUAUGGCUGUUCGCCAUUUAAAGUGGUACGCGAGCUGGGUUUAGAACGUCGUGAGACAGUUCGGUCCCUAUCUGCCGUGGGCGCUGGAGAACUGAGGGGGGCUGCUCCUAGUACGAGAGGACCGGAGUGGACGCAUCACUGGUGUUCGGGUUGUCAUGCCAAUGGCACUGCCCGGUAGCUAAAUGCGGAAGAGAUAAGUGCUGAAAGCAUCUAAGCACGAAACUUGCCCCGAGAUGAGUUCU
rnacentral:rRNA from 1 species